CGUUGGUCAAGCGGUUAAGACACCGCCCUUUCACGGCGGUAACACGGGUUCGAAUCCCGUACGGGUCAUCCA
rnacentral:tRNA from 1 species